GUUUCUGUACCAAACAUUUCACGCUUUCUAUGUUUGUAAUAUAUCUUUUUUAUCUGCCAAUCUCCAUGUAAUAUAUUUAACCAGUUUGUAAUAUACUUGUAGUCAAGAGCUAACCGGCCAUCUCAUGUUGACCUCGUUUUACAUGAAAGAAAAAACAAACUUACUGUUCAUAAACCGAGGAAACAAUAGCAAACUUAAACAAGCAAGGCAACAAAGCAAAGCAAGAGAGAGUUUAGUAGAGUUACAAAAGUCUAGAUAGAUGUUAUUUUACACUAAAAUGAGUAUUUCUAGUGGUGGAGUUCGCACUAGGUGAGGUGAAAAGGAAAACUGUCGACUGCAUCUCUGAUUGGUUUUCUUGAUCGGUUGCAAACCGAUUGGAGCUCAUUAGACCGUUUUCCGUGUUUUGCCGCUCGGUUGUCCCGAACGGCUGGAAACCGAUCGGAUAUUUUUUCGUUUAACACUACUGAUCGGGUUUCUUGAUCGGUUGAAAAUCGAUCGGAGCCUCUUUAGUGAUUUUUCAUUGUUUUGC
rnacentral:lncRNA from 1 species